GGCUUUCUGAUAUAAAAAUCUUUCUAUAGAGAGAUGAACUAAGAUUGCUUCAAGGUUAAGGGUCUCUGGAGCCCAUUCCAUGAAGAUAUAUUACAGUAGAGAUGAUCAAGUGCAGAGAUGUCACCUGAGAAGAUUGUACAAGGUUUCUCAAGUUGGCUUAUGAGGAAACUGAGUCCCAGAGAGGGGCAAUGACUUAUACAAGUUUUCCAUGGGGCCUGGUGGAAGACUAGGACGGUCAACAGCAGCCUGGAGAGCCUGGAGUCUGCGUCAAUAUGCAACCCUAGCCCUGCACGCUGGGCGUUUGCCUGAGGUUUCCAGUGCACCGGAGGCGCGUACUCGUCUGCCUAAGAGGUGUCUGAGGCGCAUGGCCCCGGGAGAGGAGGAGAAUGGGACGGUGGUUCAGAUCUGCUGAUGUAGCUGUGGUCAGUCACUGGGGAGAAUAGGCCUGUGGAUUUCUGCUCCUCUGAGAUGGAUCCAUCACUGACUACUGAACUUGUUUUCUCAUUGGCUCAACUUAAGAAGGUUCUAGAGGGAACUGACUUCUUCCUCCUCAUGGUCCACUUGAAAUUCCAGGAAAAGGAACAGAUGUGCAAGGAAUUGCAGCCUGGAGAAACAUAGUGUAUUUGGAGACUUGCAUGUAAAUGGAUAAGUAGGUGUAGGAGGAGAAGCUGGGUCACAUUUUCCUAAAUUUUAUUCCACAAAACACUAGUUCUGUGAGACGCUCUAUGGAAAUUGGUCCCAUGAUCAGUACAUUUGGGGCAUGCUGCAUGUUGUAUUCCCUGUUGUCUUAUAUUGGAUUUCCUAAAAAUAGACUCUGAGGUGGAGACUUAUGUGCAGAAGGUCUCUUGGCGAAUGCUCCAGGGAGGCGUGCGUGUAAGGAAGUGAGACAGACCCACCUCAGGCCCCUGGGACUUCCACUGGCCAGACGCCCUGUGCCUACUUGUGUCAUGGGAUACAGGGCCCAUCUCUUCCCAUCUCCACACUCUGACCACACGCUAGUAGCUUGAAAUCAGCCAUGGUGCAACUAUUGGCAUCACAAAAAUGGACAAAUGCUUCAAACUGGGGCCUGACUUAUUGUUUUGUUGAUUGCCAGGCUUAAAAAGUGAUGGAAAGGAUGCUAAUAAUGCAUAUUAAACCAAAAAAGUGCGUCAUGUCUGUAGCUGUGACAUUGUGAAUAGCACAAGCAUUGAGGUUACAUGCUUCUGAUAUUUGAAAACCCUUAUUGGAUUCAACAAAGAAUUCACUCAUGUCAUUGUCUAUCAGGUGAAGCUCUGAUGCACAUUUUUUGCUUUCACUUUUGCCUUAUUCAUUAAUAUAAACAGAAUGUCAAUCAACCUUCAUGUUGUGUCUACGCUCAAUCAUCCCUGAUGACCCUACGCUGACUACAGAUGCAGAAUUCAGCAAAAACCAAUGAAAGCAUUCGGUGAGAAUCAAUGGCUAUAUGGAGCUUACAAUAAACCGUAUUGUGUAUUUUAUUAUUACGUAUACGUUGUGUGUUACAUAUCUGUUAUAUCAGCACAAUUUAUAGUAAAAUCAUGUAGUUGGUGAACAUUUACCAGCAUAUCACUGGGGCUGGUGGAGUUUGGGUGGGAGCAUCUGAGAUUGCCGUUGGAGAAUGCUGCAGCCAAAGUCUACUGGCAAAGACAUCCCGUGCCUCUCAGGACUGGCA
rnacentral:lncRNA from 1 species